ensembl:lncRNA
UGAUGUAAUAAUUUAUUAAAUAUUUCUAAAAGGAAAAAAGGGAAAAGUAAUAUUUAAUAAUAUAAUACAUUAAAUGGAGCGUCAGCUCUUCAGCACGUGAUUAAUUCUAGCCAAUGAGAGCUGGGACUGCUGGAACUCUGCAUAGUUAAUGAGCUGACAUUCCGGCUUCAACUGAUACCAUCCAGCUCCGCUCAACCAGUCCUGAUUGCAGAGUUAAGCUCCAGCCCCAAUCCUGUACUGUUGAAGCAGCUGAUCAAGGUCUUCAUGAUCACCACACACUUCAGACAGGUGUGUGGACAGGCUGGAGAUAAACUCUGCAGGAUGCUGGUCCUCCAGAACACCACUGAUUUUGUGUCAGAUGCAGAUAAAGAGUCACCAGGAACAGGUCACUACAUCUUUUGUCAUAUGCUGGAACGAAAAGUAGCCAGGUCACAGCAUCUAAAAUGGAGACUUCUAUUAAAGUGGCUCCGUAACGUAAGAGACUUGGACAGUGGAAGGAGCAGAAGAACCAAAAGAUCAGAGAUCAGGCAGAGCUCUACUGUUGCCUCUUAGGGGAUUGAUUUAUCUAUAAUUAUCUAUAAUAUCUACUUAAUGUUCUGAUGUAGUUAUAAUUGGUCAUUGUUCUGUUUUAUAAAUCUAUUCAAUACAUUCUAGUGUUCAAUAGUUCGGGGUCAGAAAGUAUUUUUUUUUCUUUAAGAUAUUACAUGUAUUCAGCAAGGGUGCAUUAAACUGAUAAAAAAAUGCUGCUCUUUUAAAAGCUCUAUUCAAAAUAACCUGAAAAAAAAUAUUACUGUUUCCAAAAAUGAAGCAGCACAACUGUUUUUGAGAUGAUAAAAAAAAAAAAAUUCAUUGAGCACCAAAACAGAAUAUUUGAAUAAUUUAUUUUGGAUUGUAUGACACAGAAGACUGGAGUCAUGCCUGCUGAAAAUUAAACUUAGUAAAACAGUUUUUUUUUUUUUUUUUGUUAAUUACAACAGUUAUUUAAAGUUGUAAUAUUUCAUAAUGUUACUGCUUUAACUGUAUUUCUUAUCAAAUAAAUGUAGUUUUGGUGAGCAUAAGAGACUUGUUUCAAAAACAUUUACAAAUCUUACCUAUCCUAAACUUUUGAACAGUGUUUUUCUGCAUUUUUUACAUGACCG